rnacentral:lncRNA from 1 species
ACUAUUGUCAAAUGGUUCAGAGAGAAGUUCUAAGUUACAAAAUUGGUGGUUCAGGACACAAAUUGUGUGACUAUAUAUAACUGCAACCACAGGACUUCAAUCCCAGCACCCAAACAAUUCCACAUAUGUGAUAAGAUGGGAGAAGGUUGAUCUGCAAAUUCCACUCACACUCAGUACUAUCUUCUUGGAGGUACCUUAUCAUACUGUGCUUCUUAAAAUCUGAAAUCUUCCUCAACCUUGGAAAAGUAAAGUUGAACGUCAUGGAGAUCUACUUGAAUGGACUCAUUAAUUUUUACACCUGAAAGAGAUCAGUGAUCAUUUGAUGAAAUCUCCACAUUUUACAGUGAGUAGCCAUUCUAUUUCUCAAGAUCUGUGUUUUAUUUUUCCAUUCUUUUAUGGAGUGUAGU